rnacentral:miRNA from 1 species
UAGUUUGGUGCAAAAGUAAUCGCGGUUUUUGUAGUUGAAAUUAAUUGUAAAAAUUGCUAUUACUUUUGCACCAACCUAA